rnacentral:lncRNA from 1 species
CAUGCCGUGGAGGGCUCUGCAAUGAAAACAGAAUGGGUUACGGGGCUGGGGCGGGGUGGAGGCUGAGGCAGAGCACACGCAGAGCCAGCGGGCCGGGCAGGAGCCAGCGCCAUGCAUCCAGCCAAGGAGAGGGCAGGUGAGAUCCCGGCGGCACAUCAGGCCCCACAGUGCCCACGGUACCGCUGCUGUAGAUGGUGGGUGUGGCCACGGUGCCAGGGGAGACUGCCCGGGGGCUACAUCCUCAGAAACCCUGAGGGCAGCUGCCACUGGAGGCCGUGUGUGACUGGAGACAGUUCACCAGACACGGAGCCUGACCCGUCCCUGUCCAUCCACUGGGCCAACUUCCCUUCCAGCGCUCGGCACCCUCUGCAGGACUUUCUAGUUAGGCUGACGUGUCACCCUUCUCCCUAAGAUACAAGCUGCGUGAAACCACGCCAUCCCCGGCCCCACCAACAGCGCCCGCACACCAUCGUGCAGAGUCUGUGUCAGCAAAGGACUGGGGUCCGCCUGUCUCCUCUGCAUCCUGCAUCAAGUCCCUGAGAGCCACACUUGAGCCAUCACAGUCUCCAGUGGGUGGCACAGAGCUGGCCACACCGGGAGCUGCUUAACCAGACCAGUGUCCAUGACUUUUAUACUGCCCGUCUGCACGCCAUCACUCUCUGCCGGGGACAGCCCUCAACUCACCCUCUACCCAAAGAGCAUGAAGGACUCCUGACUGGUCUCUCCUUCAAGGGGGCUUGGCUGACCGCCCAGGCAAAGCGUGCCCCUGGGUCCUGGCCGUCGGCCCUCGGGAUGCUCAGUAGAGAUGAGCCACAUGGGCACGGAACAGGGCCACUUGUCUGUCCCCCCUCUUGCUGUGGGCCCCUUGAUCUUGGGGACCAUGUGGGAUUUGCCUAACACAGGGUCUGCCAUGGGCCUGGGACUUGCCACAAGCCAGGUGAGGAGGCAUCGGGGCACACACUGUGCAGCUGAUAGCUCUCUCCCUUCACUUUGCAGAUUCGGGAGCACAUCAGCUAAUAUUGGAGCGAAUAAGGACAUCGAAAACAAACCAUCCUUAGAGGACAGGGAUGGCAACCCCAGGCACUUUCCAAGGCAGGCGGGAAUGAGUGAACCGGGCCAGCGGGGGCCGAACAUCUGCCGUGCCCAUCAGGGAUCCGGCUCCGCUACAGCUCCUCACUGCCACGUGAGAACGUGUGCGCUGAGUGGCCAGAUCUCUGUACCACAUCUUGUAAUUUCUAAAGAGAACCCAGAAAUCCAGACCUGCCUACAUGAUUUCUAUUUUUUUUUUUUUUUUGAGACAGUGUCUCACUCUAUUGCCCAGUCUGGAGUGCAAUGGCGCAAUCUCAGCUCACUGCAACUUCUGCCUCCCAGGUUCAAGUGAUUCUCCUGCCUCAGCCUCCCGAAUAGCUGGGAUUACAGGCGCGUGCCACCACGCCCAGCUAAUUUUUGUAUUUUUAGUAGAGACGGGGUUUCAAUAUGUUGGUAAGGAUGUUCUCGAUCUCUUGACCUCAUGAUCUGCCCGCCUCGGCUUCCCAAAGUGCUGGGAUUACAGGCAUGAGCCACCGAGCCCAGCCUCCUACAUGAUUUCUAAAACCAGACAACACCUUGUGGAUGGGAGAGGGAGGCUGCUGCCAUCCUGGCCAAGCUCCAGCCCCGGCGAUCCCCCUGUUGCUAAGAGGUGGAGGGAGUGGGGCUGUGCCUGUGGGGGUGGGGCUCAGCCCAGGAACUUUAUGAUGAACUCGCUUGACCCUGGGCCACCUUCUGAGGAGAGAAGGUGACAUUAUUUCUCUACUGAGCAAUUCCCGGGCUCUUCCUCCAUCAAAAGGAAAGGCAUCAGGGGGCGGGGGAAGACCAGCUGCCCGCCUCACCGGGCCUGACUCAUGGGCACUUUUUCGGAGCUCCUGGCUCUGGGGCACACAGAGGGGUCGUGGGGUCAGACUGGACCACUCCGCAAAGGCCAGUGUGAAUCUGCUCCGUGGUGUCACCUGGGAGCGGGGACGGAGGAGCUGCCGGGGAUAGCACGUGCUGCACCAUGCAGGGUUUGCAUAGGGAUCUGGCAUGUUCUUUGGUGACAGGACAUCCCCCAAGGCCCUGCCAGGGGCCUUUGCCAGGAGAACAUAAGUCAGUCUUGUCUAUGCAAGUAGGCACCGAGUUGGCAGGCCAGAUUUGGAUGAGUCUUCUGUCCACCAUUCAAAAUGCACGCCCUCUGUUCCUGGAGAAAGCAGUGCUGGGAAGCUUCGUCCCGGGGGAUUUCCUCUCCAAGGCCUUUUUCAUUUGGAAAACCCACAAAGCUCCUACCAAUGGCUUGCCUUUGUCUGUCUCCCCAUUAGGUUGGGACCUGAAGAGGGCACCCCUUAGCCUAGCACAGGGCCUGGUGCAUAGAGCUGGUCAUCCCGCACUGCCCUGCAGAGCACAUGAAUGCGGGAGUCGGACGCACUGGCCAGCAACCGCAGCAGCAAUGACAAACAUCUCCCCAAGGCCAGGACCAAGGGAAAGCCACGUGGAUGGGAAACCCACCCUCCUUGGCUCUAGGGUGCCUCGAGCUCAAUAUUCCUGCAGGUAACUGCCCGUCGACCCCUUGCUGAUGGCCUCUGCCAGAGCAGAAGGGAGAGGGUCUAGCGGGAGGUGGUCUGAGCAGGUGCAUGGAGCCUCCAGCCUGUCUUUGAGGCCGGUGUGAUCAGAUGUGGGACACCCAUCUCUUCCGACCUCACUGUGCUUGACCCCUGCCCACCACCAGGCAGGGCCACCAUAGUGCCCUCCUUUAAGGAGCUCCCUGCUGACCACACCGUCCUGGCCUCCGCUUUACAUUUAGAGGUUGAUGCACGCUCUCUCGGCUGCCGAUUCUCUCGAGAUGAGACUUAAGGCUGUGGAGGGGGUUCUUCUUUGUUCUAUUCCCCCCACUUCAGUUCCUGGCACAGAGCUGGGUGCCCCCUGGAGGGUGCCAAAUAGAUUCCUCUAAACUCCUUUACCCAGACCUUUUGGCCAAGAGCAAGACAGGAGUGUAGGUAAUUCCCAAAUGCAGAUUCAAUAGUGAGAAAGAAGCGAAUCCAAAUCCGAGGGCUACUGGUUGUAGGGCAAGGCCCCUCUGGAGCCUGCCUCACCAGCCCCAGCAAAGGGACGUGGAUGGAGCUACUCUGGGGACGGAGUGCAGGGUCCCCCUUCCCCAGCCACUCACCUUGAGGGCAUUGUGGGACGUGCCGCUGGGCCGCCUCCUUCCCCCAUCUUCCAGCUGCAUUUCAGAAUACAGCUCCUCCUCGUCCUCCUCCAUGAUGUCUGAGAGGUCAGACCCCCGGCUGCUCUCUGUGUGGUACUCGUCUCCAUGGCAACAGUGCGGCUGGGGGCCAAGAAAAGGGGCUACUGAGCGGGUGGCUCCUCCCGCAUCCUACAAGAGGCCAGAUUGAGCUUGCCAACCCUUUCCCUGCUUCGCUGACUCACGGGGCUCACAGGCCUAGAGACGGGCACAGGGUGUGUGUUACUCGUUCUGGAAAGUGAGGCUGGAGAGAGGACACACCCACUCUCUCUGUUGAAGUGGCACAGAUGGGAUCAGCGCAGGUCUCUCAGCUCCAACAGGUACAGAAACACCUGAGCUCUGGACAAGAUAGAAAACCCACUGGGGCUUACAAGACACGCGGGCAGAAUGUCCAUUUCUGGGCACCCUCAGCUUCUCCAACUUAUUGGCUGGACAAAGGCUCCAAACUCUGGUGACGGUGGGGAUCAGUGCACACCAGGUGUACCCUGGAUCCAGCAUUGUGUCAGAGAGGCAGGGGGAUAGUGGUAAGGUGAGGUGUAUAUGUACCAUAAAAAGACACUUAGGCGGGGCGCAGUGGCUCACGCCUGUAAUCCCAGCACUUUGGGAGGCCGAGGUGGGCAGAUCACAAGGUCAGGAGAUCGAGACCAUCCUGGCUAACACGGUGAAAACCCAUCUCUACUAAAAAUGCAAAAAAUUAGCCGGGUGUGGUGGCGGGCGCCUGUAGUCUCAGCUACUCGGGAGGCUGAGGCAGGAGAAUGGCGUGAGCCCGGGAGGCGGAGCUCGCAGUGAGCCGAGAUUGCCCCACUGCACUCCAGCCUGGGCCACAGAGCGAGACUCCAUCUCAAAAAACAAACAAAACAAAAGACACUUAGGUUUUUAAAACAUGCCACGUUGUCUAACACACACGCGCAGACACUGGCAGACAGCCUGGCCUGGCAGGAGGUGGAGCCACCGCACAGACUGUGUGCUUACUCCGGGCCCAGCUCAGCCUCAGCAUGAGACGAAGAUUGUGCAGAUAGUAGGGGCACUGGGCGGAGGCUGCGGACAGCAGAAAGGCUUCAACAAAAAAAGUGUGUUUAAAUGAAGAGGCUACCUGGUAACAUGCCAGCUUGGAGACAGCGACAGCCCUGGUGGUCUCUCCCAGUGAUGGUGCCAGCAGCAGCCGCUGGGUUUCCACUCACAGAGAAAGCACCUAGUCACGUGGUAACGGUAUUCAAAGCAAAGUAAACCUUCGACAACUCGAACUACACGUUCUGAUGCACUCAGAUUGAUGAAUGUAAUACAUCCAUAAAGAUAUUCUGUUUUUGCUACAUGGUAUCGAUUAAGAACAGUUUAUUUUGCGGAGGUGUGGCAAGACAAAGGUAUUCAAUAGCAUUCUGUGACGUAUUUAUCUAAAAAAAAAUCUGGUUUCAAUUCCUAACCCAGAUGAAGAUGUGUAUGCAUUGGCGUCACGGUCAGUUCCUGGCCUGCUGAGGGAAGCUGCGUGGGGCUGCGGGCGGAAGGUUCCCUGCCCCAAGCCCGUGAGAGGGAGGACGGGAAGGGCCUCGGCCGGGCAGUCUGCAACACCAGCCUCUCAGCUGCGCCAGCCCUAAUGCUUCCAACCAGGCUCCAAGCGGAAGGCACGAAAGCGAACUGGGUUUAAAUGGAUUUAAAAGGUGAGACUGGGUCUAACGAGGCCCUCCCAAGGCCUCUGGGGAGGGACUGCCUGCACCACCGCACAGUCUCACUUUAUUCAACCCCAGCAGUGAGCUAGGGGUCAACUCCUGGGACGGAAGGAGGUGUCUGGCAUUCGCCAGAUGCUUGAGGUCAGCCCUCUCUCCAUUCUUGGAAUAGUGUUCUAAGCAAAGGUCACCAGCAUUUCAGUGAGAUGUCUAGUGACUGGCUGAAGGCGCUCAGCAAGUAAACGACAGGGCUGGGACCAGGGUCCAGGUCUGCCCUUGCCUCUGCUGACAGAGAACAUAACCUUAGACACUCUACUUGGUGGGUGCCUUCUCCUAGGGGGACACGCAGCUUUACCCUCCAGUCCUCAGUGGAGAAUGCCAGCAGGCAGAUGGCCCUCCCUGGGGAUAGGGGAGGUGCUGAGCCCCGCAUCCAGCAGGAGGCCUGUGGCUAUAAAUUUCACUUAUAAAGAGGCUGAGGUAAAGCCUCCACGAGACAGGAUUUGGAUCAUCACUAUAGCAAACUUCAGUCUUAUCACUCGGCAAACCACCUUUUCUCUCGCCAAACUAAAAAUCACAAAUUCCUCUUAAAAGCCUCUUUCCUUAGAUUUAAUAAGGGUACAGACUUUCGGUUACAUGUGGAGCAGGUUCUGGGGGCCUAGUAUUCAGCAUGGGCAAUGACGGAUGUACUAAUUAACUUGACUGGGACAGUCAUUUUUUUUUUUUUUUUUUUUUUUGAGAUGGAGUCUC